AAAGACGAUGUGCCCUUUCUGCUUUGGAAAAUCACAGUUCUCAGAAGACCAACAGAAAUGCAUGUAGAAAAUGAUGGAAAUUACUGGGUAUCAGAGGACACGAUGACCUGAAUGAAAAGAAAGAUGAAUGGGUCAAUGAGAACAUCUGAAAAGUCUGGAGUAUCACUGAGGAAAUAGAGGGCGAUUGAGAAUCCGAAAGUGAAUGGAAACCUACAACAGAAGUGAGAUAUGCUUUUCUGUUGUCACCUCAUCGGACUGUGUGUGAUGACACAAAUGCCAAUAGCCGGCAAACUGCGAGGAACCGAACAUGAUCCUGACAGUCUCAGGAGUGCCCCCGCUGAAUGAUUUUUAAGUUGAAUAUCUGACUAAAAUAAAUAAUUGUCUCAUUUCUUUGUUGAUUUAACCAACUCUGAAGCCUAAAAGACACGUGUGAGGCCCUGUGAGGGGAACUAAUAGGAAUGUGGGCGAAUGGCGUCCUUGGAGAGUUCAUGGUCUGAUAGGAGAGAAAGAUUUUAUAGGAAAUCACAGCCACAAGAAAGCAGCCCACACCCCACACGAGAUGGCUGUGGGGGUUUGGGGAAGAAGAUAGUGCACCCAGUUGCAGAUAUCAGAGAGGGCUUCCUGGAGGAGGUAGCACUGAAGCUGGGCAUGGUAGGAGGAAGGAUCUGAAUGAAUAUGUGGUGAGAGGAGGAAGGCCAUUGUGGGCGAAGGCAAAACAGAGGUGGGAGGGGGCGAGCUCGUCAGGGAGUAAUUAGUCGUUCAGUUUGGUUGGACCUUAGAGUCUGUGGACAAGAGUAGCGGAGGUGAAGCAUAGUGGGGUUAUUCCGGGGCUGGCUCCAGGACGGCCUUGAAGGCCACGCAGAGUUGAUGC
rnacentral:lncRNA from 10 species